rfam:Triticum urartu cultivar G1812 contig1235359, whole genome shotgun sequence.
AUUGUACUCCCUCCGUCCGGAAAUACUUGUCAGCGAAAUUGAUGUAUCUAGACGUAUUUUAGCUUUAGAUACAUCUAUUUUUAUCCAUUUAUGUGACAAGUAUUUCCGGACGGAGAGAGUAGUUG